rnacentral:rRNA from 1 species
AGAGUUUGAUCCUGGCUCAGGAUGAACGCUGGCGGCGUGCCUAAUACAUGCAAGUCGAGCGAACGGACGAGAAGCUUGCUUCUCUGAUGUUAGCGGCGGACGGGUGAGUAACACGUGGAUAACCUACCUAUAAGACUGGGAUAACUUCGGGAAACCGGAGCUAAUACCGGAUAAUAUUUUGAACCGCAUGGUUCAAAAGUGAAAGACGGUCUUGCUGUCACUUAUAGAUGGAUCCGCGCUGCAUUAGCUAGUUGGUAAGGUAACGGCUUACCAAGGCAACGAUGCAUAGCCGACCUGAGAGGGUGAUCGGCCACACUGGAACUGAGACACGGUCCAGACUCCUACGGGAGGCAGCAGUAGGGAAUCUUCCGCAAUGGGCGAAAGCCUGACGGAGCAACGCCGCGUGAGUGAUGAAGGUCUUCGGAUCGUAAAACUCUGUUAUUAGGGAAGAACAUAUGUGUAAGUAACUGUGCACAUCUUGACGGUACCUAAUCAGAAAGCCACGGCUAACUACGUGCCAGCAGCCGCGGUAAUACGUAGGUGGCAAGCGUUAUCCGGAAUUAUUGGGCGUAAAGCGCGCGUAGGCGGUUUUUUAAGUCUGAUGUGAAAGCCCACGGCUCAACCGUGGAGGGUCAUUGGAAACUGGAAAACUUGAGUGCAGAAGAGGAAAGUGGAAUUCCAUGUGUAGCGGUGAAAUGCGCAGAGAUAUGGAGGAACACCAGUGGCGAAGGCGACUUUCUGGUCUGUAACUGACGCUGAUGUGCGAAAGCGUGGGGAUCAAACAGGAUUAGAUACCCUGGUAGUCCACGCCGUAAACGAUGAGUGCUAAGUGUUAGGGGGUUUCCGCCCCUUAGUGCUGCAGCUAACGCAUUAAGCACUCCGCCUGGGGAGUACGACCGCAAGGUUGAAACUCAAAGGAAUUGACGGGGACCCGCACAAGCGGUGGAGCAUGUGGUUUAAUUCGAAGCAACGCGAAGAACCUUACCAAAUCUUGACAUCCUUUGACAACUCUAGAGAUAGAGCCUUCCCCUUCGGGGGACAAAGAGACAGGUGGUGCAUGGUUGUCGUCAGCUCGUGUCGUGAGAUGUUGGGUUAAGUCCCGCAACGAGCGCAACCCUUAAGCUUAGUUGCCAUCAUUAAGUUGGGCACUCUAAGUUGACUGCCGGUGACAAACCGGAGGAAGGUGGGGAUGACGUCAAAUCAUCAUGCCCCUUAUGAUUUGGGCUACACACGUGCUACAAUGGACAAUACAAAGGGCAGCGAAACCGCGAGGUCAAGCAAAUCCCAUAAAGUUGUUCUCAGUUCGGAUUGUAGUCUGCAACUCGACUACAUGAAGCUGGAAUCGCUAGUAAUCGUAGAUCAGCAUGCUACGGUGAAUACGUUCCCGGGUCUUGUACACACCGCCCGUCACACCACGAGAGUUUGUAACACCCGAAGCCGGUGGAGUAACCUUUUAGGAGCUAGCCGUCGAAGGUGGGACAAAUGAUUGGGGUGAAGUCGUAACAAGGUAGCCGUAUCGGAAGGUGCGGCUG